AUAAUAAAAUCUCUUUGGGUGGAAGAAAAGGAACCGCUUUGUUGAGAGAAGAAGAAGAAGAAAGGAAAGCAAUGGGUUGGAUCGGCGAGAGUGUGGAUUCCAUUAAAUCUCUUCAGAUCCGUCAGGUCCUCACCCAGGCGGUUAGCCUCGGCAUGAUUGUUACGUCUGCACUGAUCAUAUGGAAGGCAUUGAUGUGCAUUACUGGCAGUGAAUCUCCUGUUGUUGUUGUUCUUUCUGAAAGCAUGGAACCCGGCUUCAAGCGGGGAGACAUCUUAUUCUUGCAUAUGAAUCGAGAUCCCAUUCGGGCAGGGGAGAUUGUUGUCUUUAAUGUCGAUGGACGUGAGAUUCCAAUUGUUCAUCGUGUAAUUAUGGUACAUGACAGGAAAGAUACUGGGGAGGUUGAUGUUCUCACGAAAGGAGACAAGAAUGAUGUGGAUGACAGGCUACUGUAUGUUCACGGUCAGCUUUGGCUGCAAAGGCACCACGUUAUGGGUAGAGCUGUCGGGUUCUUACCUUACGUAGGCUGGGUGACCAUCAUUAUGACUGAAAAGCCUAUUAUCAAGUAUAUUCUCAUUAGUGCUUUGGGGCUGCUCGUGAUAACUUCAAAAGAUUAAAUGAUGAAAUCUAAAAUCAAACUGUGAUCUAACCUUCGAUGGUAGUGUGAGCAGAUGUCAUGCUUUUGUUGAAGCUUUCACCCCUUUGAGUGUGAUCACUGAUUGAUAUUCUUGGGAUACUGGGCCUGAUCUUCGAAAGUACUUAAGAGUUAACCCAAAUUCGAACUUGUAAAUCAUUUAUUAAGAGAGCCACUUGGUAAUGAAUCAUGAACGUAGUUGGAGGUUGCAUUCACCGCCGUGGAGACCAAAAUGGCACGCUAGCAAGUUGUUAGAUCUUCAUAGUUCCACGAAUCAUCCUAUCCAAAUGUAUACAAAAAGUAGAUGAAAAGAAUCACCAAUCAAUAUAUUUUUCUUAUAUGAAUUAUCUUAUCAUUCAGACUCGGAACAAUGGAGAUGAUCGGCAGAUUUGAAUCCCUUUUUAUGAAGGGGAGAAAAAGCUUACAAUGUGUUUGAUUUGUAUGUAUAUAGAAAAAUAAUUAGAGUUGGAUGGUUGAUUAUUUUAAUCACGUCGUUCUUUUUAGUU